UCCGUAGGUGAACCUGCGGAGGGAUCAUUACCGAGUUUACAACUCCCAAACCCCUGUGAACAUACCUAUACGUUGCCUCGGCGGAUCAGCCCGCGCCCCGUAAAACGGGACGGCCCGCCCGAGGACCCCUAAACUCUGUUUUUAGUGGAACUUCUGAGUAAAACAAACAAAUAAAUCAAAACUUUCAACAACGGAUCUCUUGGUUCUGGCAUCGAUGAAGAACGCAGCAAAAUGCGAUAAGUAAUGUGAAUUGCAGAAUUCAGUGAAUCAUCGAAUCUUUGAACGCACAUUGCGCCCGCCAGUAUUCUGGCGGGCAUGCCUGUUCGAGCGUCAUUUCAACCCUCAAGCUCAGCUUGGUGUUGGGACUCGCGGUAACCCGCGUUCCCCAAAUCGAUUGGCGGUCACGUCGAGCUUCCAUAGCGUAGUAAUCAUACACCUCGUUACUGGUAAUCGUCGCGGCCACGCCGUUAAACCCCAACUUCUGAAUGUUGACCUCGGAUCAGGUAGGAAUACCCGCUGAACUUAAGCAUAUCAAUAAGCGGAGGA
rnacentral:rRNA from 3 species